ACCGAAAGGUGGUCUAAUACUUCAUAAUAUCCAUCUCGUAUGGAUUAAAGCUUUAUGCGCUUUGGGAGGGGCCUGCGUAACAUUAGCUUGUUGGUGAGGGUAAAAAGCUCACCAAGGCUUCGAUGUUUAACUGGUUUGAGAGGAUGACCAGUCACACUGGGACUGAGAUACGGCCCAGACUCCUACGGGAGGCAGCAGUAAGGAAUCUUCCACAAUGGGGCAACCCUGAUGGAGCAAUACCGCGUGCAGGAUGAAGCGUUUCGGCGUGUAAACUGCUUUUAUCACCGAAGAUUAUGACUGUAGGUGAAGAAUAAGGACCGGCUAACUACGUG
rnacentral:rRNA from 1 species